GGGUUGUGAGGUUAAGUGACUAAGCGUACACGGUGGAUGCCUAGGCAGUCAGAGGCGAUGAAGGGCGUGCUAAUCUGCGAAAAGCGUCGGUAAGGUGAUAUGAACCGUUACAACCGGCGAUACCCGAAUGGGGAAACCCAGUGUGUUUCGACACACUAUCAUGUCAUGAAUACAUAGUGGCAUGAGGCGAACCGGGGGAACUGAAACAUCUAAGUACCCCGAGGAAAAGAAAUCAACCGAGAUUCCCCCAGUAGCGGCGAGCGAACGGGGAGGAGCCCAGAACCUGAAUCGGCUUGUGUGUUAGUGGAAGCGUCUGGAAAGUCGCGCAGCAAAGGGUGAUAGCCCCGUACACUAAAAUGCACAGGUCGUGAGUUCGAUGAGUAGGGCGGGACACGUGACAUCCUGUCUGAAUAUGGGGGGACCAUCCUCCAAGGCUAAAUACUCCUGACUGACCGAUAGUGAACCAGUACCGUGAGGGAAAGGCGAAAAGAACCCCGGCGAGGGGAGUGAAAUAGAACCUGAAACCGUGUACGUACAAGCAGUGGGAGCACCUUCGUGGUGUGACUGCGUACCUUUUGUAUAAUGGGUCAGCGACUUAUAUUUUGUAGCAAGGUUAACCGUAUAGGGGAGCCGUAGGGAAACCGAGUCUUAACUGGGCGAAUAGUUGCAAGGUAUAGACCCGAAACCCGGUGAUCUAGCCAUGGGCAGGUUGAAGGUUGGGUAACACUAACUGGAGGACCGAACCGACUAAUGUUGAAAAAUUAGCGGAUGACUUGUGGCUGGGGGUGAAAGGCCAAUCAAACCGGGAGAUAGCUGGUUCUCCCCGAAAGCUAUUUAGGUAGCGCCUCGUGAACUCAUCUUCGGGGGUAGAGCACUGUUUCGGCUAGGGGGCCAUCCCGGCUUACCAAACCGAUGCAAACUCCGAAUACCGAAGAAUGUUAUCACGGGAGACACACGGCGGGUGCUAACGUCCGUCGUGAAGAGGGAAACAACCCAGACCGCCAGCUAAGGUCCCAAAGUCAUGGUUAAGUGGGAAACGAUGUGGGAAGGCAUAGACAGCCAGGAUGUUGGCUUAGAAGCAGCCAUCAUUUAAAGAAAGCGUAAUAGCUCACUGGUCGAGUCGGCCUGCGCGGAAGAUGUAACGGGGCUAAACCAUGCACCGAAGCUGCGGCAGCGACGCUUAGGCGUUGUUGGGUAGGGGAGCGUUCUGUAAGCCGUUGAAGGUGGCCUGUGAGGGUUGCUGGAGGUAUCAGAAGUGCGAAUGCUGACAUAAGUAACGAUAAAGCGGGUGAAAAGCCCGCUCGCCGGAAGACCAAGGGUUCCUGUCCAACGUUAAUCGGGCAGGGUGAGUCGACCCCUAAGGCGAGGCUGAAAAGCGUAGUCGAUGGGAAACAGGUUAAUAUUCCUGUACUUGGUGUUACUGCGAAGGGGGGACGGAGAAGGCUAGGCUAGCCGGGCGACGGUUGUCCCGGUUUAAGCGUGUAGGGGGUGUGACCUGGUAAAUCCGGUUGCAUAUCAACCCUGAGGCGUGAUGACGAUGCACUACGGUGCAGAAGUAGUUGAUGCCCUGCUUCCAGGAAAAGCCUCUAAGCUCUAGGUAACAUUAAAUCGUACCCCAAACCGACACAGGUGGUCAGGUAGAGAAUACCAAGGCGCUUGAGAGAACUCGGGUGAAGGAACUAGGCAAAAUGGUGCCGUAACUUCGGGAGAAGGCACGCUGGCAUGUAGGUGAAGUCCCUUGCGGAUGGAGCUGAAGCCAGUCGAAGAUACCAGCUGGCUGCAACUGUUUAAUAAAAACACAGCACUGUGCAAACACGAAAGUGGACGUAUACGGUGUGACGCCUGCCCGGUGCUGGAAGGUUAAUUGAUGGGGUCAGCCGCAAGGCGAAGCUCUUGAUCGAAGCCCCAGUAAACGGCGGCCGUAACUAUAACGGUCCUAAGGUAGCGAAAUUCCUUGUCGGGUAAGUUCCGACCUGCACGAAUGGCGUAAUGAUGGCCAGGCUGUCUCCACCCGAGACUCAGUGAAAUUGAACUCGCUGUGAAGAUGCAGUGUACCCGCGGCAAGACGGAAAGACCCCGUGAACCUUUACUAUAGCUUGACACUGAACAUUGAGCCUUGAUGUGUAGGAUAGGUGGGAGGCUUUGAAGCGUGGACGCCAGUCUGCGUGGAGCCAUCCUUGAAAUACCACCCUUUAAUGUUUGAUGUUCUAACUCGGCCCCAUAAUCUGGGGUGAGGACAGUGUCUGGUGGGUAGUUUGACUGGGGCGGUCUCCUCCCAAAGAGUAACGGAGGAGCACGAAGGUUAGCUAAUCACGGUCGGACAUCGUGAGGUUAGUGCAAAGGCAUAAGCUAGCUUGACUGCGAGAGUGACGGCUCGAGCAGGUACGAAAGUAGGUCUUAGUGAUCCGGUGGUUCUGAAUGGAAGGGCCAUCGCUCAACGGAUAAAAGGUACUCCGGGGAUAACAGGCUGAUACCGCCCAAGAGUUCAUAUCGACGGCGGUGUUUGGCACCUCGAUGUCGGCUCAUCACAUCCUGGGGCUGAAGUAGGUCCCAAGGGUAUGGCUGUUCGCCAUUUAAAGUGGUACGCGAGCUGGGUUUAGAACGUCGUGAGACAGUUCGGUCCCUAUCUGCCGUGGGCGUUGGAAGAUUGAGAGGGGUUGCUCCUAGUACGAGAGGACCGGAGUGAACGCACCACUGGUGUUCGGGUUGUCAUGCCAAUGGCAUUGCCCGGUAGCUAAGUGCGGAAAAGAUAAGCGCUGAAAGCAUCUAAGCGCGAAACUUGCCUCAAGAUGAGUCUUCCCUGGGCCUUUAAGGUCCCUGAAGGAACGUUUAAGACUAAGACGUUGAUAGGCUGGGUGUGUAAGUGCAGCGAUGCAUUGAGCUAACCAGUACUAAUGAUCCGUGAGGCUUAACCUUACAACACCGAAGGUGUUU
rnacentral:rRNA from 1 species